AAAGAAGAGAAAAAAAACCAAAGA
rnacentral:sRNA from 1 species